AUUGAACGCUGGCGGCAUGCCUUACACAUGCAAGUCGAACGGCAGCACGGGAGCAAUCCUGGUGGCGAGUGGCGAACGGGUGAGUAAUAUAUCGGAACGUGCCCAGUCGUGGGGGAUAACGCAGCGAAAGCUGUGCUAAUACCGCAUACGAUCUAAGGAUGAAAGCGGGGGAUCGCAAGACCUCGCGCGAUUGGAGCGGCCGAUAUCAGAUUAGCUAGUUGGUGGGGUAAAGGCCCACCAAGGCGACGAUCUGUAGCUGGUCUGAGAGGACGACCAGCCACACUGGAACGGAGACACGGUCCAGACUCCUACGGGAGGCAGCAGUGGGGAAUUUUGGACAAUGGGCGCAAGCCUGAUCCAGCAAUGCCGCGUGCAGGAUGAAGGCCUUCGGGUUGUAAACUGCUUCUGUACGGAACGAAACGGCCCUUUCUAAUACAGGGGGCUAAUGACGGUACCGUAAGAAUAAGCGCCGGCUAACUACGUGCCAGCAGCCGCAGUAA
rnacentral:rRNA from 1 species